UACGUAGGGUGCGAGCGUUGUCCGGAAUUAUUGGGCGUAAAGGGCUCGUAGGCGGCCAACUAAGUCAGACGUGAAAUCCCUCGGCUUAACCGGGGAACUGCGUCUGAUACUGGAUGGCUUGAAUCCGGGAGAGGGAUGCGGAAUUCCAGGUGUAGCGGUGAAAUGCGUAGAUAUCGCUUGGAACGCCGAAGGUGAAAACAGGUUGCUGGGGUCGCGCCGACGCUGAGGAGCGAAAGCGUGGGGAGCGAACAGG
rnacentral:rRNA from 1 species